AACGGUCUAUACCUGCGGUACCUGCGGAAGGAUCAUUAAUGAGAAACUGCCCCUCGUGGGUAGAUCUCCCACCCUUUGUAAACUUACCUUUGUUGCUUUGGCAGGCCCGUCUCCGGACCGCCGGCUUCGGCUGGCCAGUGCCUGCCAGAGGAUUCUAAAACUCUGUCUGUCAGUGUUGUCUGAGUCUAUAUACAAUCGUUAAAACUUUCAACAACGGAUCUCUAGAUCGGAAGAGCACAC
rnacentral:misc_RNA from 1 species